UACGGAGGGUGCAAGCGUUGUCCGGAAUUACUGGGCGUAAAGAGUUCGUAGGCGGUUUGUCGCGUCGUGUGUGAAAACCAGCAGCUCAACUGCUGGCUUGCAUGCGAUACGGGCAGACUUGAGUACUGCAGAGGAGACUGGAAUUCCUGGUGUAGCGGUGAAAUGCGCAGAUAUCCGGAGGAACACCGGUGGCGAAGGCGGGUCUCUGGGCAGUUACUGACGCUGAGGAACGAAAGCGUGGGUAGCGAACAGG
rnacentral:rRNA from 1 species